rnacentral:rRNA from 1 species
AUUGAACGCUGGCGGCAGGCCUAACACAUGCAAGUCGAGCGAGUGGCGGACGGGUGAGUAAUGUAUGGGAAUCUGCCCGAUGGAGGGGGAUAACUACUGGAAACGGUGGCUAAUACCGCAUACUAUCGGAUGAACCCAUAUGGGAUUAGCUAGUUGGUGGGGUAACGGCUCACCUAGGCGACGAUCCCUAGCUGGUCUGAGAGGAUGACCAGCCACACUGGGACUGAGACACGGACCAGACUCCUACGGGAGGCAGCAGUGGGGAAUAUUGCACAAUGGGCGCAAGCCUGAUGCAGCCAUGCCGCGUGUAUGAAGAAGGCCUUAGGGUUGUAAAGGACUUUCAGCGGGGAGGCGUUACCCGCAGAAGAAGCACCGGCUAACUCCGUGCCAGCAGCCGCGGUAAUAC